UACGUAGGGUGCGAGCGUUGUCCGGAAUUACUGGGCGUAAAGAGCUCGUAGGUGGUUUGUCGCGUUGUUCGUGAAAACUCACAGCUCAACUGUGGGCGUGCGGGCGAUACGGGCAGACUGGAGUACUGCAGGGGGAGACUGGAAAUUCCUGGUGGUAGCGGUGGGAAAUGCGCAGAUAUCAGGAAGAACACCAACGGCGAAGGCAGCUCGCUGGGGACGGUACUGACGCUGAGACGCGAAAGCGUGGGGGAGCGAACAGG
rnacentral:rRNA from 1 species